rnacentral:tRNA from 1 species
UGGAAAGUGGUGUAGUGGAAACACUUGGAGUUUUGAUCUCCAGGAUAUAGGUUCGAGUCCUUUCUUUCCAUA